GGGGAGGGUGGGGCCGGGGAGGGGGGGCCGCGAACUCCAGGCGGGGCCUGCCUCUUCUCGCGAGACCGCGGCCGCCUCGCUCGUGUCCCGACUUUCGAAAUCGGCUUGUACGGGUGGGGGGAACCCCCUGUGCUGUCGCGCUCGGCUGACCUGCGUGGUGCCCCGGAUUUACCAAAACGAGCGUGAAAAUAGGGCCAGUGGGGAGGCCCAGCAGGAGCAGCCGGGGUCCCUGCCAGUGACGACCCGGGAUCUGCUCUCUGGAGACCGGUGGGGUGGAAAGCCCACUGGGGGGGGGGGGGAACCCAGAUAAGACUUGGGUGAGCGAUGAAGAGCUGGCGCUGUCGAGGUCUAGGAGAAUGGACACUGCAGAGACCUUUGACCUUGUUUUCCAGGUUGCACACAUGCGGACUUCCACCCCUGUAAGACUGGAGGAAAGGGCUCUGCUACCCUGACUCACCCAGAGCCGGCCGCCUUAUGGGGACUGCAGCAAGAUGGAUGGAAAAUAUGUGCAGGAUCUGUUGUUACAAUAGACAGAAAACUGAACUGUAGUCUAUGUGUAGCUUCCGACCAAAGGAACUUCUUGAGUUAAUAUUAACUUAAGGGACUCCCUUGGGCAAAGUUACUGAUAGUGGCCAAAGGCCCUUCGGUCUGACCAUCUUCCGAGAACCAGAGCUGCUGUAAAGAGAGUUUCCUCUGCACUCUUGACUACUGCCACGUUCUCAGGUACUAGUCUACGGAGGUCCAUUGUAAAGCCAAAAAGAUGGAAAAUGUUUUGUCUUGAUGGUUUUAAUAAUAAAUCCAUUCGCUGCUUGUACAACUACCAGAUCUUAAGGACAGAUCGAAUAUUUUCUGGUAAAAUAGGGUAAAGCUGUUGUUACUGACCUUUAAAAGUAUUUUGAUCACAUGAAGUCUUUCAAGUCACAACCAAAAAAAAAAAAAAAAAAAAAUCCCACAGUGCAUCCUUAGCCUUGUUGACUUAUGACAUUGUGUGGUCAUUGUUAGAGUAGGUGACAUAAUAAACUGGAAGAACCAUUGUGUGUUCCCAAAGGUGUGAUUAUCCAGUAAAUAUGUCUUUGGGCCAUACUAAAAGCAGAACAGUGCGAUCCUUAGUUGAAGUCCAGUUUUUCACGCACCUUCUGACAGGUUAAAAUACAUAGUAAAACUAUGGACAUUUUUAGAGAA
rnacentral:lncRNA from 1 species